rnacentral:tRNA from 1 species
GCCCGAGUGAUGCAACGGGUAGACGUAGCUGAUUUAAAAUCAGUCGCCAAUUAAAACGGCGUACGGGUUCGAUUCCCGUCCCGACACCA